UACGUAGGGGGCAAGCGUUGUCCGGAUUUAUUGGGCGUAAAGGGCGCGUAGGCGGUGAGAUGCGUCCGUUGUGAAAUCGCCCGGCUCAACUGGGCGGGGUCAGCGGAUACGGUCUCACUUGAGCAAGCUAGGGGGCAAUGGAAUUCCCGGUGUAGUGGUGGAAUGCGUAGAUAUCGGGAGGAACACCAGUGGCGAAGGCGGUUGCCUGGGGCUUUGCUGACGCUGAUGCGCGAAAGCGUGGGGAGCGAUCCGG
rnacentral:rRNA from 1 species